GGGCACUAGGCAGGGGGCGGGGCACCUGACCACGUGACGAGAGGGGCUGGUGGUCUCCUGGGAGGGCGGGGCGGAGGGACGUGAGAGGGUGUGGCGAGACGCUUCGGAGGGGCGGAGCGGAGUAACACGUGACAGGCGGAGGCGGAGCAGGCUCUGUAACAAUGGCCCUUCCAUUACCACGUGGAGGUCAGCAGUGCAUGGAGAUGGAUGUCUUCAGACUGACCUCUGGAUGCCUCGGUAUCCUCUCACACUUUCCACUUCGCCUUGUUCACAGCUCUGAUUGGGUGAAAUACAUGGAGGAACACAGAAGUUUCGAACUAGUAAAAGAAAAUGAGAAAAAGAAUGAAACCUCCAGCCUCAACUGAUACAUUCUCCACCAGCUCUCCAUCUGACACAUUCUCCACCAGCUCUCCAUCUGCCGAUACACUUCCACUAGCCAUACUUGAAAGUAGCUUACUAAUAAACUCUUUUCUGUAACUCUA